AAAGAUGUAGUAUAAGAAAAUACAUUUCACUUACACUGAAAAUAUAUUUAAGAAAUAAAUCGUCUUUA
rnacentral:tRNA from 1 species